UACACUUGUGACUACAUCGGGCCCCCCUGGAUAAUCCAGGAAAAUCUCAUUUUUUAAAUCAGCUGAUUAGCAACUGCGUUAUUCCAUUUUGUGUGGCUAUAAAUACACACCUGAGGUUAGGUCUAUUAUAAAGAAAAGAGGUUCAUCUGGCUCACGGUUCUGUAGCCUGUGUAAGGAGCAUGGUGCCUACAUCUGCUUCUGAUGAGGACCUCAGAAAGCUUCCAGUCAUGGUGGAAGGUGAAGGAGCAGGCGUAUCACAUAGUGAGAAAAGGAGCAAGAAGGGAGGGAGGGGUGCCAUGAUGCUCUUUUAAACAACCAGCUCUUGCGUGAACUAAUGGAGUAAGAACUCACUCAGCACCAAGCCAUUUAUGAGGGAUCUGUCCCCAUGACCCAAACACCUCCUACUGGGCCCAUCUUCAACUCUGGGGAUCACAUUUUAAUGCGAUUUGGAAGGGAUAAACAUCCAAACUAUCUGAGCCACCUUCAUGUAAUUUACAACUGCAGUUCCCCCUUGCCACAUAACAUAUUCACCAUAUGUGAGGUUUAGAUGUGGACACCAUUGGGUGAGGAGGGUACAUUGUUCUGUCUAACACAGACAUAAAAAAGGCUCCAGAGCUCAGAUGAUCCAGUUUAGAUCACCCCACUGCUGGGCCGCUGGACUGCCCCCAGAAGAAUUUGAGGGAGACCCUAGGAGGCCCAUGUGCCCCUGGUAAGACCAUACUCUCAGCUGCCACCACAACCUGCCCACCUUAUCUCUACAAAAUGCCCAGGAGGUCAGUUCAAGAAGGAGUCUGUAAUUAGAACUGGAUUUAUCUGCCCUGCAGCUUCACGGAGACCUCAGUGUCCACGUAAAUGACUUCUGACACCAGGGCCCCUCAGCUGCUUGUCUUUCCACAUCCACCAUCUCCAUCUUUUCCUUUUACUCCCCUCAUCCACAUCCUCUCGAUUUUCAUUAUACCGUCACGUGAAGCGUUGUUUUUGGCUUUGCUUGUUGAGGCGGGGUUUCACUGUGUUGCCCAUGCUGGAGUGCAGUGGCUGUUCACAGGCAUGGUCGUAGCACACAACGGCCUUGAACUCCUGGGCUCAAGCUGUCUUCCUGCCACAGCCUCGUGAGCAGCUGGGAUUACAGGUGUGCACCAUCUGUACUGAUACCCAGAAACAGAUUCUGGCUUAAAGAAUCUGCGGAGGUCCCAGGCCAUCAGUAUUGUCAGAACUAUCGUGGGCUAUUUCUAAUGUGCAGCCAGGGCUCUGAGUCACUGCCUGGCCCAUUGCUGGGAGCCUCCUAAGUCUUUAUCUGUUUUAGUCUUGAGCUGGCACCACCUAGUUUCCAGCUUCCUUCCUGCAACACUCCCAGUGCCCCGCCAGGACUAAUGCUGCACUGAAUCCUCUAUACAUUCAUUGUUCAUUCAUAAAAUCCUUUAAUCCCUGCCUGAAACCCACGAGCCACUGUCCCUACUUCACACAUGCUCCCUUUGGGGGGUUUUGAGCACAGGCAUGACACGAUAUGAUUUUAAAAGUUAAAGAUUAUUCUGGCUUCUGUAUGGGAAAAAGACUGUGGAGCAGGACUGGAAGCAGGGAGGCUGGUAAUCCAGCUAACCGGGAGGUGCCUCCAGUAGCCCAGGAAAGAGCGGACAGUGGGAGAACUGCAGCGGUGGAAGACGUCAGGCUAGGGAUGUACCUUCAAGACCUGCUAAUGGAGCUGGCUUAGAGAGAAAGAGCAGAGUAAGAUGAAUUCGUACUUUUUGUCUGAGCAUCUGGGUAUGCUGCACCUUUAACAGAGGUGUGAAUAGCACGCUGAGCAGGUGGAGGUAGAGGAACCUUAGAUUCAGCAUUGGUUACAUCAAAUUAGAGAGGCCUAGUAGAAUCCAAGGGCAGAUGUCAAAUGGGCAAUUGUGCCAAUGAGUCUGGAAGCUCAGAGGAGAGGUUGAGACUGGGAAGAUGGAUUUCGGUGUCCUCAGUAAAUAUGUGAUGUCUUAGAACCAGAUGAGGUCAUCCAGGGAGUCAUGCAGAUGAAGAAGUAUGUCCUGGGAUACUUGUUUAAUGGUCAAGAGGCAGGGGAGGGGGAGUUAGAGGGACUGAGAAGGAACAGCCAUGAGUAAAGGGGAAACCAGAGAAUUCUGGCAUCCCCAGUGCUAAAGAGUUUCAUGGAGAAGAUAAUGACCAGCUGAUCCAGUGUAGCAGAUGUCGGGUCACAGCAGGUUCAAGGCUUGCCUGUUGAGUGUGGCACCGUGGAGAUCACUGGUGACCUCAGCAAGUGCAGGACUCUGGUGUUAUAGAAGUCCACCACCAGCGUGGGCACAGAGAGAAGGGAAGCAGGAUUGAUCGGCAGGAUACUGGCCCUCCAAAAAUGUUCAAAUCUGAAUCCCCAGGGCCUGUCUGUUAGCUUACAUGGCAAAAAAGGUCAUUGCCCAUGGGAUGAAGUUCAGGAUCUUGUGAUGGGGAUGUGUCCUGGAUAAUCCAGGUGAGUACAAGGUAAUUUCAAGAACCUUAACAAGAGAGGCAGAAAAGUCAGAGUCGGAGAGAGACUAGAAGGUGAUCCACUGUUGGCUUUGAGAUGUGGUCAUGAGCCAGAGGCUGUGUAGAGGUGAUGGCAAUGCGGGCAGCCUGUGGAGGUGCAAGUGACUGGGAGACAGCUUCUUCCUGGAGCCUCCAGAAGGCGUGCAGCCCUGCCUUGCCUUGAUUCUACCCCAGUAAAACCCAUUUGGGACCUCUGACCUCCUGUAAGUCCAGUUUCUUCAACAAUAUUUGCCUUGAGAUGGAAUUUCUAAAAAUGCUCUUUCACCCAAGGGUCCAGUUUAGCUGGAUAUACCCUGAAUCCUUUAUGAAAUAAGGUAGAGAGACAGGCAACACCAGUGGCCCCAACUGCUGCCCCAGGCGCUUGUAGGGGGAAGUAUCUUCAGCACAAACCCUGCCUGUAAGGAGCUGGCAGGCCAGCAGAAUGGUGAGACCCAUUAGGACAGAGAAGCCUUGCCGCCAGAGAGAAAGAAGUCUUCAUACACAGACAGAGUAGAAGAAAUAAGGAGGAUCUAAAGUAAGAUGACUCGAUUUCUAGCUGGAGGGAAAUGGGGGUUUCUUCUAGCUCUAGUCUUUGUUGCAAGAUCUUCUGAGACUGAAGCUCUGAUCACCUUACUGUUCUGGUGGGAAACCAUCAAUGGCUACCUGUUACCUGCAGAAUGAUGUAGAGAUGCCUUGAUGUUGCAUUCAAGCACCCUCAAAAGUGACCCUAUGAUGCCUUUCUAGGAAGACCUCACAGCCUCUCCCUCCUUCAGUUUUGACUUCAACUUGAUGGCCUCAUCAUCUCUUUUCUGAACAUUGGUUUUUCCCUUCCUGUCCUCUUCCCAGAAACUAGCAGUGGGGUGGCCCCUGAGGAUGAGACCCCUUUCCCCACUGUGUCAUGUUAGCAGAAGAAGUGAUGUGCUGGGUCCACAUAGCCCCCCUCAGGAGAAUCAGAGGUUAAAGAUGAAGAUGG